CCUACGGGGGGCAGCAGUGAGGAAUAUUGGUCAAUGGACGAGAGUCUGAACCAGCCAAGUAGCGUGAAGGAUGACUGCCCUAUGGGUUGUAAAAUUCUUUUAUAUGGGAAUAAAACGUUCCACGUGUGGGAUAUUGUAUGUACCAUAUGAAUAAGGAUCGGCUAAUUCCGUGCAAGCAGCCGCGGUAAUACGGGGGAUCCGAGCGUUAUCCGGAUUUAUUGGGUUAAAAGGGUGCGUAGGCGGGUUAUCAAGUCAGCGGUAAAAUCGUGGAGCUCAACUCCAUCCAGCCGUUGAAACUGAUGAUCUUGAGUGGGCGAGCAGUAUGCGGAAUGCGUGGUGUAGCGGUGAAAGGCAUAGAUAUCACGCAGAACUCCGAUUGCGAAGGCAGCAUACCGGCGCCCGACUGACGCUGAAGCACGAAAGCGUGGGUAUCGAACAGGAUUAGAUACCCGAGUAGUC
rnacentral:rRNA from 1 species